rnacentral:rRNA from 1 species
CAGCNUCCUGGGAUAACACUGACGUUCAUGCCCGAAAGCGUGGGUAGCAAACAGGAUUAGAUACCCUGGUAGUCCACGCCCUAAACGAUGUCGAUUAGCUGUUGGGCAGCAUGACUGCUUAGUAGCGAAGCUAACGCGUGAAAUCGACCGCCUGGGGAGUACGGUCGCAAGAUUAAAACUCAAAGGAAUUGACGGGGACCCGCACAAGCGGUGGAUGAUGUGGAUUAAUCCGAUGCAACGCGAAGAACCUUACCUGGUCUUGACAUGUACGGAACCCUCCAGAGACGGAGGAGUGCCUUCGGGAGCCGUAACACAGGUGCUGCAUGGCUGUCGUCAGCUCGUGUCGUGAGAUGUUGGGUUAAGUCCCGCAACGAGCGCAACCCUUGUCAUUAGUUGCCAUCAUUAAGUUGGGCACUCUAAUGAGACUGCCGGUGACAAGCCGGAGGAAGGUGGGGAUGACGUCAAGUCCUCAUGGCCCUUAUGACCAGGGCUUCACACGUCAUACAAUGGUCGGUACAGAGGGUAGCCAAGCCGCGAGGCGGAGCCAAUCUCACAAAACCGAUCGUAGUCCGGAUUGCACUCUGCAACUCGAGUGCAUGAAGUCGGAAUCGCUAGUAAUCGCAGGUCAGCAUACUGCGGUGAAUACGUUCCCGGGUCUUGUACACANCGCCCGUCACACCAUGGGAGUGGGGGAUACCAGAANUAG